rnacentral:lncRNA from 1 species
CGGGGGUUGUAGCAUCUAGAGCAAAAGAUGCCCAGAAAAAAAACUAAAGCUGAAGGCCUCUUAAUUGAUCUCUACUUAGUGAGCAUAGCAGGAAAACCAAGUUGAAUGAGUUGGAGACUCCAUAGAGAUGGGCUUCUAGAAUAAAAUGGCACUGACUUAGCUGAAGGUAAGACAGCUGUAAAGAUUUGGAAAAAUUAUAAAGAGAAAUUUUGUACUCUUGCAUCGUAAGUUAGUAAGUUCUCAUUUCAUUGUAAAGGACUGAAAAAGGAAGCUGAACUUGCAACAUGUGAGAACAUUUUGUGCAAAGGAGACAACCUGGAGCUCCAGAGGACCUACACUCAGUGAAUGGGCUUGGUCCUACAUCCAAAUAUACAUGAGGACAUGCAGAGAAAUGUUCAAGUAUAUAGGUAUCAUUUUUGUGGUUCCCUAUUUUAACUUAUUUAAAAAUGUAGUAACAGUAUUUUUAACAUAGGCAAAAGGAGAGAAAAUAAUGUAUUUCCAUAUACUCAAACUAGGUUAAACAGUUACAAAGAUUUUUGACACAUUUGCUUCAUCUAUCCCAUAUUUUAUUUCUCUCUCAAGUAUUUUAAUGCAAAUUCUUGAAAACAAUCACCCCUACAGACGUCAGCAGACAUCUGCAGAAAUAUUUUAAGCCAGCUUUUGAUUGCUGACCAACCUGUGGUACAGGUAACAGGACUCCUACUGGGUACCAAGUCAUUCACCUACAGGCCUACCUUUCCCCUCUCUUUGCUUCAACCCAGAAGACCUCAAGGCAAAUAAACUGAUUCCUGGAUCCUGAGUGGUUCCUGGUUCACGUGGAAGGACAUCUCUGAAGCUUCAACUCAGUGAUUUACUUCCCCAAACCUAUUCCUUUCAUCCUUACAAUGAAACCACCUGUGUAACAACCCGAUUCUUUGAACGUUUUCUGGGAGUCCAGAGCAAGCCGAAACUUUCAGUGAACAUCCUAAGGCAAUCUGUAUUGAACCAGGUUCACUCCAAAAACCCAGUUGGGGCCAUUUCUCAAGGAGCUCAGAACAACCCGAGGAAUGGAUUCAUGGGCUGUCCUAAAGUAGCCUUACUCACAGGUAUCAGAGAAUUCACUUGCUUCUAGGCCCUUGGAUUGCUUUAAUUCUUUCAAUUUUCUUUUGUUCAACAACAUAAAAAAUAUAUUCUACUUAUUGCAAUUUUUACAUGUCACAUUCUGAAUAUUAUCCUGUACCAGUGGCUUCUUGGUUGUUAUAUAACUUGUUUGGUAAAGUUAUGCUGACAGCUUUAAUGAGGCGAUGUCAUGUGAUGCACGAAUUUCCCCUGGUGCUGAAUGUGGACAUUAGCAACUCAGUAUCGUGUGUUAGGGCAGUGGAGAAUCAGGGUGUAUCUAAUAAAUUCCUUCAUGGAGCUCUCAUGCCAUUAAGCAGAA